rnacentral:rRNA from 1 species
GACGAACGCUGGCGGCGUGCUUAACACAUGCAAGUCGAACGGGUCUGCCCUGUUUUUUGCGGGGUGGGUCAGUGGCGAACGGGUGAGUAACACGUGAGUAACCUGCCCCUCACUUCUGGAUAACCGCUUGAAAGGGUGGCUAAUACGGGGUGUUCUGGCUGUGCCGCAUGGUGUGGCUGGGAAAGAUUCACUUUUGUGGUGUUUUGGUGGGGGAUGGGCUCGCGGCCUAUCAGCUUGUUGGUGGGGUGAUGGCCUGCCAAGGCUUUGACGGGUAGCCGGCCUGGGAGGGUGGGCGGUCACACUGGGACUGAGGUACGGCCCAGACUCCUGCGGGAGGCAGCAGUGGGGGGUAUUGCACAAUGGGCGGAAGCCUGAUGCAGCGACGUCGCGGGAGGGAUGGAGGCCUUCGGGUUGUGAACCUCUUUCGCCGGUGAAGAAGGUCCUGCUCUUUGUGGUGGGGUUGACGGUAGCCGGGUUAUGAAGCGCCGGCUAACUACGUG